UUGCAGCCAUAUCAUUUUGAAACGCGGGUUCCUCUGCAAUCAUCGAAGGUAAGAAUCAUUGUGCCUGGUCAGUAUCGAGAUGGGUGACCACUUGUGAAUACUAAGUGUUGUAAG